AUUGAACGCUGGCGGCAGGCCUAACACAUGCAAGUCGAACGAGUAGCGGACGGGUGAGUAGUGUCUGGAAAACUGCCCGAUGGAUGGAGCUGUAUACUAGAAACGGUAGCUACUACCGCAUACCAACGGCUGUGCCCAGAGGGGAUUAGCGAGUAGGUGGGGUAAUGGCUCACCUAGGCGACGAUCCCUAGCUGGUCUGAGAGGAUGACCAGCCACACUGGAACUGAGACACGGUCCAGACUCCUACGUGAGGCAGCAGUGGGGAAUAUUGCACAAUGGGCGCAAGCCUGAUGCAGCCAUGCCGCGUGUAUGAAGAAGGCCUUCGGGUUGUAAAGUACUUUCAGCGGGGAGGCGUUACCCGCAGAAGAAGCACCGGCUAACUCCGUGCCAGCAGCCGCGGUAAUUC
rnacentral:rRNA from 1 species